rnacentral:sRNA from 1 species
UGACCUUUCACCUUUCAGUACUCUACUAGAUCGGCCAAAGAACUCAAUGACAUUUUAGAAAAACGUAAACAGUACAUCAAUGAAAGCGACACUGACCUAGAUAAUCAACAAGAAGAUUACAGGGGAGUGACGUCCAGUGGACAAAGUCUCAGGGAGCAGAUAGUACGAAAACGAGGUCAGCUGAGACAAAGCAGCGUGGACUACACCAAGUGAGAGCUACGACUUGUAAUAAAGAUUUUUUUUUCUAAGAGGUUAUCUUCUUAUUAAAGAUGUGAGCGACAUUUUUGAGUACUUUUUAAAAAUGUGUCAAUAGUGUACAAUUACAAAUUAUUGGUGUUUAAAUGAGAGAUGUUAUUUUGACAUUGUUUAACUGGUGAGGAUGACCUGCAAGCUCACUAGUGUUUGCUUGGCGUGUCUAAAUGCUGAAUUGAGCGAUUAAUGUAAAACUAGUGAUACAGUGGAUGGGAUUUUUGUUAUAUACAAAACCAAAAUUAUUAUUUUUUUUAGAUCAUUACUUUUCAAUGUGAGUUGUAUGCUAAGUCAGAUUAUUUUACAUAUUUUACAUUCUGUGCUUCCAGGGUAGUAUCCUCUUUUCAUAUCAUAUUUAUUAUUUGACACAGUAAUUACAUGAACUACAAAUAUAGUUGUAUUACACUAUAAUCAGCCUAUUGAUGAAUUUAUACUAGAUUAGAAAUUACCUUUUUUUUUGGGCGGGCAAGUUGCUCUACAUGUCAAAAUAAAACUUUGACCAGCCCUGACCUAUUUGCUAGAAUACAACAGAGAAAUGUCAUUGACUUCACAUUCAAUUUGGAUUCUGCAAGUUCAAGAUUGUUUGAAAAGUACUUGCCAUCUAUUCACCUUGUCACCAAGACCAGCGUGUCUUAUGUAUGGAGACUGCAGACUGUUUGCUUGAUGACAAAAUCAUUGACUUAAAAAGUUGACACUGCAGCAUUCAGUAUAUCUUGAGGAUCCAGUCGGAGACUUGGGACUUUCUAAUCAGUACACCUCAUUGAGUGCUUCCUUAACCAGAUGUAUUUCUUGAACUGACAUGCUCUUUUAUCUAUGAAAUACAUUUUCCCUAUGUGCACAUGUUCCUGUUAGUGAUGGGAGACAGGUGGGAAGCUCAAUGGCAUAUCUAGCACUUGCCAGGGAAAGAUAACUCGAAUCACUUUUUCUUCAUGUUUACCUCUCCUUACUGCUGGUGUCACCAUCCUCAUUUUAUUUUAUCAUCAUUAUAACCAAAAUAGCAAAUUUGUUUAUUUAUAUACAUAUUAUUAUUAUGAUAUGGACAAAGUAAAAAUGUGUCCAGACAUGUCUUUAAGUCUAUUUGUAAUGUUCUUUUCUUUCUGUCCUUCUUUCUUAUAUAUUUGUUCAUUCACUUCUCCCUUUUCUUUCUCCAUGCAUUAUUUUCUUAUAUUGUUCUAUCCUAUUUGAAUGUAUACUUUUGACAUAGUGCUUGAGAUCAUUCCCACAUUGUUUCAAUUGCUUUAUGGAUUACUUUCAUUUGUCAUUCUGGUCUUUUUUUUUUUUUUCUUUUUUCUUAUUCUAGUUUAUUUAUUUUUGUUGUGUUUUUAAUUUAUGCCCCUUUAAUUGUCAGCUAGAUAUAAUGUUUGAUUAUUUGCGUGAAUUCUUGAGUUGCAAAAAAAAAAAAAAAAAACUUUAAGUGUGUCUAUUCUUAGUUUUAUGAUGAUGUUCAAUUAAUGUUUCUUUAUGAUCAGCUGACUUGACAUUCAUUGAUAGAUCAAUAAUUGCAAUACUUGAUAUGAUUUUGAAAAGGUUUGACUCUUGCAGUGUUUGUUUGCACCCUUGUCCACAUUAAGCCUUUAUGUUCACAUUGGUUUUAUGACAUGUUUGUACUAGUGAAAUACCAGCUGUAGUGCAGAAAUAGUUCUAAAACAAACUUGAACUUCCACACCAGCACUUCUUACUUGAUCUGCCUGUCAGACUAUCAUCAUGAUGGUCUCUAGUUUGAAUCCUGCUUGGACAUGUUCAUGAUGAGAUUCUUGAAUAUUCACGUCAAGAUUAGGAUUUCUUCUCCUAGAGUUGGUGGCUCUCUGGUCAAAGCAACAAAUGACUUGUACAGUACUUUGUAUUGGUUGACUCUUUAUCCUAGACAUUGUACAUAGCUUGAACAGUACAAGAGUAGUGUUCACACACUUGUACAGAACUUUUUUUUGUUUUUAGAUGGGUGUGGCCAGCUUUUAAUUGGAUUGGGUUCCUACAUUUUACCCUUGAUACAUCUCAUGAGGAAUGUGUAUGUGUGUCGAUGAUUGAAUUCUAAUCCAAACCAGGUGUGUGUGACAGGGACAUUCACUAGACCAGUGGGUUUAACUAGAAGUGGUUACAUGGUCAGGUCUGAGAGUUUCAACUUUUAAACUAUCGGAUGGAUUUUAUUUAAAUUUUGCUUUGAAGAGACUUUGACCUUGAUUUUAUUUCUUCCUCCACUACUGGACAUUUUUGCUGAGAGAGAGAGUGGUCGUUAAAUGAAUCUGUACAAAUAUGAACGAAUUUUAAGUUUUAUUAAAAUUCACAGAAAUAAAUUCUACAGCCUCCCAACAAUGGACUAGUGGAAGGAAUAAAUGGAGUUUUAACAAGGGCAUUCACUGAGUGACACAUUAUUAGCAUCAAGUCUACUAUUAAAGUCCUUGACAAAUUAUUUGACUUAAAAGUUUGACAAAUUUAAAAACAAUGUAUUUCUUUGAUUUGUCCCUAGCUGAUUGAUCAUUUUGUUUGAUUCUACAUGUUUGCAUUUUACAAAAUCAAAUGAAAUAAAAGUAAAAACUUC